rnacentral:rRNA from 1 species
CAGCUUACCAUGCAGUCGACGAUGACUCUCUAGCUUGCUAGAGAUGAUUAGUGGCGGACGGGUGAGUAACAUUUAGGAAUCUGCCUAGUAGUGGGGGAUAGCUCGGGGAAACUCGAAUUAAUACCGCAUACGACCUACGGGUGAAAGGGGGCGCAAGCUCUUGCUAUUAGAUGAGCCUAAAUCAGAUUAGCUAGUUGGUGGGGUAAAGGCCCACCAAGGCGACGAUCUGUAACUGGUCUGAGAGGAUGAUCAGUCACACCGGAACUGAGACACGGUCCGGACUCCUACGGGAGGCAGCAGUGGGGAAUAUUGGACAAUGGGGGCAACCCUGAUCCAGCCAUGCCGCGUGUGUGAAGAAGGCCUUUUGGUUGUAAAGCACUUUAAGCAGGGAGGAGAGGCUAAUGGUUAAUACCCAUUAGAUUAGACGUUACCUGCAGAAUAAGCACCGGCUAACUCUGUGCCAGCAGCCGCGGUAAUACAGAGGGUGCGAGCGUUAAUCGGAAUUACUGGGCGUAAAGCGAGUGUAGGUGGCUCAUUAAGUCACAUGUGAAAUCCCCGGGCUUAACCUGGGAACUGCAUGUGAUACUGGUGGUGCUAGAAUAUGUGAGAGGGAAGUAGAAUUCCAGGUGUAGCGGUGAAAUGCGUAGAGAUCUGGAGGAAUACCGAUGGCGAAGGCAGCUUCCUGGCAUAAUAUUGACACUGAGAUUCGAAAGCGUGGGUAGCAAACAGGAUUAGAUACCCUGGUAGUCCACGCCGUAAACGAUGUCUACUAGCCGUUGGGGUCCUUGAGACUUUAGUGGCGCAGUUAACGCGAUAAGUAGACCGCCUGGGGAGUACGGCCGCAAGGUUAAAACUCAAAUGAAUUGACGGGGCCCGCACAAGCGGUGGAGCAUGUGGUUUAAUUCGAUGCAACGCGAAGAACCUUACCUGGUCUUGACAUAGUGAGAAUCUUUCAGGAGAUGAGAGAGUGCCUUCGGGAUUCACAUACAGGUGCUGCAUGGCUGUCGUCAGCUCGUGUCGUGAGAUGUUGGGGUAAGUCCCGCAACGAGGCGCAACCUUUUCCUUAUUUGCCAGCGGGUAGGCGGACUUAGGGAUACUGGCCAGUGACAAACUGGAAGAGCGGGACGACGUCAGGUCAUCAUGGGCCUACGAUCAGCUACACGUGCUACAAUGUAGUUACAGAGGUUUCAUACAGCAUAGUCGGAGUGUGAAUAGGCUA